AGGCAGACUUAUCAUUGACUUAAAUUUGUUAAAAUCUCAUCCAGCGUGUAAAAAAAAGCAAUGGCUCAAUGAUCUGUAAUGUUAACACUUUGAACUGCACAUCAUUACAUCUAAAUUAGUUAAUGAUAAUAAUUUUUCAGUUAAUUAUAAAUUUCAUCUUGUCAAUAAAAUGCUCUUCUUUUAAUUCUUACUUACUCAUUCAGUUUAAGUGUCUACAGUAUUUUUCUCGACCAUUAUAAUGUAUGCAUAGAUAGUUUUUUGAUUGUUUGCUUACUUCAUUUCACCAUGUCUACAUUUUAUUUCACCUGAGUAUUUAGUGGCUUCAAAGACAUCUUGUAUAUUUAUAUAAUUUGAUGCUACCAGGGUGAACAAAAUUCUUACACAUUCUUCCAUGUUUGUUUGCUUGGCCAGAUUUUUGGCACAAUGUUUUUUGUAAAUAGGUCAAAGUUGAAAACUAAUUCCCUCUUCCCAUUCCAUGAAAUGGACAUUAAUGUUAUAAUUAAAUUGUGAUGAUCAAACUGAUGUUAUUUUGCCCAAUGCUUUUUUUUUUUUUUUUUAAGGCUA